UAACCACUUUGUUGUGUAUCGUUGAGUAACGCUACAAAGUUGAAGCCUCUCGAAAAUUUUGCCUUACCUAGCUAGUACUGCCAUUUUGACAGGAAACCGAAAGUUUCAUGUUAACGGAAAAUUAUCUGGCUCGUUGGAGUGGAUAAAUGGUGAAUUGUGCUCCAGCAGUUCAAGCUUUGUUGCUGCUAAUGUUUCAAGAAUGUUCAGCCUAAUAGGCGCAGAUGAGAGAAACAAGGUGCAUUUUCAUAUGGGCAGAGUGAAUUACUGUACACAGUGAUGCUACUAGUAUAGUGAAUUAAGAGGAUGAUGUGUGGGAGUCCUUAUUUGCACGAUGAUGGUAUCAGCAUCCACAUUUGGUAUGAUGGUAUACUUUGUACUGCAGAGAGAAAUGGCAAUGGCAAAUAUAGUCCAGUGGAAGAGAAACAUUCAUCAGAAUUCAGCCUCUUUAAGCUGAAAAAAUGUGCAUAGAAAUGUAAAAUCAUCACUGUUACUCAUACUAACCUGAGAGUGAAUUACUAUACACGGAGUGUCCUGGGUGGUUGGAAGAGGGACCCAAAUGAGAUGGUGGAGCAGGUGAUAAGUGUCCAGGGUCUGUGGAUCCUGGUCUUUGCAGAUGUGAUGAAGGGAUACAGUUAGGAUCCCGAGGAGGACUGAUAGGCUCUGAUUUUAUCGUAACAGGCGGAGAGGAUCUCGGAGGUGGCGUUGAGGAACUGACACUAAGGUGUGGUAACCCAGAAUGCGACAUGCCUAUUGACCCUGGAUUCCACUAAAAGGAAGAGGUUAACUUGGUAUUACCGAGUUUUGUACUGAGUAACAUAAUACUAAUUAGUCUAUGAAUAUCUUAAAUACUCAUGUUUCUGUUAGUACCUUCAAUUGUGGAAAGAUUCUAAAAAAGAUAACAUUUAAUAGUUGCUUUAAUUAACUACAGCAACUCUUGACAUGUAACAAGCACCAAUUUAGUUUUAUAGUUUUGAAUGAGAUGGGAACACCCAGCAUUUGUGGGUUUUAAGUUAAACAUUAGAGAUACCUUGCAUCUUUUUUUCUGUAUAUGUAAUCUAUCAUUGUCACUCACUAUCUACUCUAUGGAAAAAUUUUACUGAUGGGGAAUGAAUGUGGCAGUAAAGGUCAAGUAGUCUGUAAAAACUUAAAUGUACUACAAUUUUCUCUUCUUUCUCUAAUGCUUUUGAUGCUUCUUUCCCUGGUAUUUUCUCUAAUAAAGUAGGUUUGCUAAUUAUAAUUUAACUAGUAGCCUAUCAAAGAAAUUCAGUGAAAAAAAAGUCUUUAUGAACCCAUUUUGAAGAUAAAUAAAACUUUGAUAUGCUUGAGGGCAGUCAUAACCUAAUGAACAUGCUCUUUGCAAACAGUUAAUCUCCCAUGUAUGUUAUUAUUCAAGGGCACCAUGUUUUAAAUGCAAUAUUUGUUAAAUUAUUUUCAAGUUAUUAGUAUAGUCUAUUGUACAUGCAGUGUCUAGUAUCUUAAGCUGCCAUAUCACUGUACAGAACAGUACCUCAAACAUUGUACAAUUUAUGUAAAUCUCUCAUGACUGUCAAACAAACCAUUGCCUCAUAUAGCCUUAUAUGUUCUGUUUGCAAACUUAAACUGUAUUGUACACACUUGAAAUGGGUCAGGUUACUGGAUAAUAGUUUCUGAAAUUUAGAUGAAACCCUCUCACCUCUCUCAGUAUGAACCCUAAAUUUUAUGAGAUGAAUACUUACGACCUUGCAUUUCUUAAGUAUAAUCGUUUGCUUUAAUGCUUUCAGUUGUGGUGAUCUUAUUUCUGUGAAGCUUCAAACAUUCCAUGCAGCUUCCCAGUGCUCUUCUAAUCCACUUAGCUCUAUUAUUUAAUACUGUAAAUUUUUUAAUUCUUCACAAUUACUGUGAGCAUCAUCAGGAAUCCCCAUAAACCAAGCCACAACACCGUUUAUGUAAGAUAUCCAUUUGUUCAAUUUUGUGAGUGUUUAUACAAUACAUGGUUUUAAUUUAUCUCUUAAGUUCAUUAGGGUCUUUAGUAAGCUUUUUCCAGAUAUCAUGACCCUAAAAGGCUAGAUAUAUUUCUUACAAUAAAAAUAUAAUUUUUUGCCAAUUACUUUUACAUAAUUCAUAUUUCUUUGGAGUCACAUUCAAAGAAAAUGUGUACUAUUGCCUUCUGCAGUCUCACAAAUCUUCUCAUGAGUCCUUGAGAAGAGUUACAGAGAACUUGACUAUCUUGCUUUUGUUGAGGAAUAUAACGACACACAAAGCAAUAGUUUGUAUUUUCAUGGGAACACUACUUCAUGUUUUGAUUAAUAAAGACAUGCAUUUACACAAAUAUAUCACUGCUUAUCAGAACCAGACUAAUGACAAAAGACUAUAUAAGAAACAAAGUUAUCCUUUGCUACUGACUCUUAAAAUUUGGUAAUGCUUUGGAGUUUUGAAGGGUAUCAUCAUCAAAUAUCCUGCCUAAGUUAAUGGGAGAAUUAAGAUUCCAGUUAGAUUUCUCACGUGAAAGGAAUAACUGGUAUUAGUCUCCUGUAUCAGGCAGCAAAAUUCUGCAGGAUGGUACAGGAAUUACUUAUAUUGCAAGAAACCUUCCCAUUACCUAGCUAUAGCCCAAGCUUAACCUUCAUGGCUGUGGUUGGUAAUGUUGUACUGAGAAAGAGAGAUAAAAAAUACUAAUUUUUAAAUUUUCAAUAAUACGUUUCACAUGUGAUGAUUCUUUAAAUUCAGGUAAAAUUUGUUUCUUAUUCUUCACACCAAAGCAGUCUAAAUAUUUAUACAAGGCCAAUAAAUAAUUUCUCAAAAUAAUUUUAUACCUGGUAGUGCCUAUGCAAGUCAUUACAUUUACAAAAAGGAUCUGGUUAAUAAUAAUAAUUCCUAUGACAAACAAAAAAAUAUUUUUCCUAUUUUACCCUUCCCUACUUCUGUCCAGAUCUCGUGAGAAGCUGAAUUUGGUACUGCAGAAGCAUGCCAAUAUUAGUAGUACGUGAAAAAUACUCAAUUACAAUUUAUAACAAAAAAUUCAAAUUUUCUUACGUGCAGAGAAUUUAUGGGGUUGAGAGAGAUGUCAUUAUUCAACGGAAACUCCUGAUGAGAAAAUGAGUUCAUUGAGGAGUACGUCAUUGAUGAAUUACCGCCAGCAGCUGUCUGGAGUGAAACAACAGGAGUAUUCAAAGAUGGUGAUCCAGGUCGAGGCGUCUACAAAAAAAAAGGGGGAGGAUAUUUAUCACUUGGAGACUGCUUUUGUACAAGGGGUAUUGCUUCAUAUGCUUUACACAAACCUUUUUCUUUUUUAUAAACUAGUUCCAUGUAGUAUACAAUAAAAAGUAUCAAUUUUACCAUUUUGUUUUCAUAUGAGGUUAUGAUGAAUUGGUGCAUUAAUUAUUAAUGACAGCUUCAAAAAAUUUUUUUUAAAUAUUUAGAGAAGCAUAUCUAAAUUGCAUUAUUACUCUAUGCAUAAUCAUUUACACAGACUCCUUCAUAGUCCUGUUUAUUAGCUAUUUUCUCUUCUUUAUUCCUGAAUCUUGUCAUUAUACCCGUUCCUCAUUAAGGGUGGCAGUAAUUACGUUACCAUUCAUGUUCCUUUAGCUACCGUAAAGAAAAAAAUUGGUAAUUCAUACAAUACAAUAGGUCAACUUACCGUCUGUGCUUGAGAGUUUGGGAUGAGGACUCGCAAAUUUGGUCUGGUUGGUGAAUGGGUCUUGGAGGAGUGUGGCCGACUGAGGAGUCCAGGGGAAGGUGCACCUCCAUGUGGAAGAGGGGAAGUUGAGCCAGGGUAUCCAUUCGAGCCAUUCAUAUCAAGCAUUCCACUAGAAGAUCCAGGACGUGGCGACAGAGAUGCGUGUGACAUCUGAGGUGAGGGCUGCAUCAGUCCUGGGUCAUAACCCGUAUUGUUGACAGGCACUGUGACUGCCAUACUAUUGUAGUUAUUAAGGUUUACUGGUUGCUGUAAUGGAAAGGAGAAAAUAAAAUUGAUUUGCAAUUGCGGACUCACUAUUUUUCAAUAACCUUUCCCACUUUUCAGUGAUACACUAGAUACAUUGUAAAAAUGUACCACACAAGUGAAAAUAAAAAAAUACUUUAUCUACUGAAAUAAGUUACUGACACCUGCAAAACACAACUUUGUCAAGAGAAAUUAAUAGUUUGUUCAAAUUAGACAAUGAGAGGAUUUCACUUCCAAAUCAUAAUUUUCAUUAACUUGAUACUGAGAGGGGCAUCGUAAUGGAAUACAGGCAGUCCCCGGGUUAUGACAGGGGUUCCGUUCUUGAGACGUAUUGUAAGCCGAAAAUCGUCAUAAGCCAGAACAUUGUCAAAAAUCCUAAGAAAACCUUACUUUUAAUGCUUUGGGUGCAUUAAAAACUGUAAACUGCAUUGCAUUUUUCAUAAAAAAAAACCCCUUCAAAUAUUGAUUAUUUUGCAUUUUUGGAGUCAUAUUUCUUCUGCCAGAUCAGCAUUGUGCAGCCAGGAACUGCCUGUAUAUGUACACGUAUUUGUUUGCAUCUUUAUUUUUGAGUUAUUGUGGUCUAUAAUUGUACCUGCUUUUAUUUUAUUCUUCCUUUACUUUAAUUUGACAAUAUUUGAUAAGUGCAGGUGACAGAAAAGGUUAAGUGCUAUUUUAUCUAGGUUUUAUAUUAUCCUAUUAUAUAUCCACCAUCUUUACCGCAUGACCAAACCCUACCAAAAUACUUUCAUAUAUAGUACCAACAUUUAUACAACUUACAAUUUAUCUC